rnacentral:rRNA from 1 species
UACGUAGGGGGCAAGCGUUGUCCGGAAUCAUUGGGCGUAAAGCGCGUGUAGGCGGCCAGGUAAGUCCGUUCUGAAAGCCCGGGGCUCAACCCCGGGAGGCGGAUGGAUACUGCUUGGCUCGAGUCCGGAAGAGGCGAGUGGAAUUCCCGGUGUAGCGGUGGAAUGCGUUGAGAUCGGAAGGAACGCCCGUGGCGAAAGCGAGGUCCUGGACGUCUACUGACGCUGAGACGCGAAAGCUAGGGGAGCAAACGGG